CAGUAGUUCCUGCAGUGAGAAGGGGCUGCACACUGAGAGAGAGGCAGAGUGCAACUGCAGGAAGGGCUGUCUGCCUUGCGGAGCUAAUCCCCCAAACCGCCAGGAGGUGGCACCGUCCAGCAUUCUAAUCUGUUUUGGGUGUCCAUAUACUACACUGGUGAUGAGGAUAAACUGAAAACAACCAGAAAGUUCUACACACUAUGAGGAAGAGGAGCCAGAAGCUGAGGACUCUGUGUAUACAAUGUUUAAUAUUACCAGCAGAAGCCAAAAGGAGAAGCCACUGUGAGCAGAUGUUACAACUAAUGG